rnacentral:ncRNA from 2 species
AGUGAAGGUAGAGGUGCGAGCUUCAAGAGUAGUGGUUCUGAGAAGGAUGAGCUUCUGAGAAGAAUCAUGAAAGGGAAGGUUCGCCGAAGUAAAGGAGAUCUCAUUUCUUGCUUUGCUGGUCCUGUGUUGAAUAAAUACCGGAUUGUCAAGACGUCUGUCUUGGAGAGCUAUCUUACAU